UCUAGAACUCGAGAUAUGGGUUGAACACUGAACAGUGUCUGGGCUGCAGGACAGAUUCAGACUUCUCCAUUGUUGUUAGAAUUUGGACUUGAAAAUGGCCUUUCUAAAUCUUAGACUCCUAUGAAAGUUUUAGGCCUAUAUCUUAGCUUUCCAUC
rfam:Populus trichocarpa scaffold_1_contig_528, whole genome shotgun sequence.